rnacentral:misc_RNA from 1 species
CCUGAGGAAUCAGCAUCGGCUAACUCCGUGCCAGCAGCCGCGGUAAUACGGAGGAUGCAAGCGUUAUCCGGAAUGAUUGGGCGUAAAGCGUCCGCAGGUGGCUGUUCAAGUCUGCUGUUAAAGCACAGGGCUUAACCCUGGAAAGGCAGUGGAAACUGAACGGCUAGAGAGUGGUAGGGGCAGAGGGAAUUCCCAGUGUAGCGGUGAAAUGCGUAGAGAUUGGGAAGAACACCAGUGGCGAAGGCGCUCUGCUGGACCACAACUGACACUCAGGGACGAAAGCUAGGGGAGCGAAUGGGAUUAGAUACCCCAGUAGUCCUAGCCGUAAACGAUGGAUACUAGGCGUUGUGAGUAUCGACCCUCACAGUGCCGUAGCCAACGCGUUAAGUAUCCCGCCUGGGGAGUACGCACGCAAGUGUGAAACUCAAAGGAAUUGACGGGGGCCCGCACAAGCGGUGGAGUAUGUGGUUUAAUUCGAUGCAACGCGAAGAACCUUACCAGGGCUUGACAUGUCUGGAAUUGCGGGGAAACUUGCAAGUGCCGAAAGGAGCCAGAACACAGGUGGUGCAUGGCCGUCGUCAGCUCGUGUCGUGAGAUGUUGGGUUAAGUCCCGCAACGAGCGCAACCCUCGUGUUUAGUUGCCAUCAUUAAGUUGGGCACUCUAGACAGACUGCCGGUGACAAACCGGAGGAAGGUGGGGAUGACGUCAAGUCAGCAUGCCCCUUACGUCCUGGGCGACACACGUACUACAAUGCGACCGACAACGGGAAGCCAACCAGCGAUGGGGAGCAAAUCCCAGCAAACG